UAAGGCACUAGGUCAGAAUAAGUGCUUUAUACAUGACGGCUCCAGUCCUAAAGUCAGAAUGUCCAUGGCUGUCAAUUGUCCUUAGGCCAACGAGUCAGCGGCUAGGAUUUCAUUUUCCAGGCUGAAAAGUGCUGUGUGGAACUGAGGGACCCCCUUCAUGCACGCAGCUGCUGGUGGUUAAAACACUGUUUUAAUACCCGCGACUCCAGAUGAUGUCAUCGCCCUGUGCAGGCGAGGGGCCUGGCUUCAAAGAGUUCUGGAGUCUGUGCAGCCAGCUCAGGGGCAGGAUCCAGGUCCCCAGCCCCUCCUUCAGUGUGAAGUCCAGACUGAUCUCCAGCUCGUCUGCCACAAAACAGGAGGCUUUCACGGCCUUGUCGUUGCUUUGGGUCAUCGGGAGUGUCAGCUUUGUGCACAGGAAGGGAAGCUCAGAUGCGAAGCGCGUUUCCAGAUCAAAAUGGCACCAUUGUGUGGCAGGUUUUGAUGGCCGAGCCUUUCCCGUGAGCGCUGUGUGCCCCCAACAGAGCCCGAGAGCCCCCUCUCCCUGAGGAGAGCCUCAACUUCUCAGCAGAAGCCCCUCAAGCAGUGCAGAAGGAACUAUCACAGGACCUUCGUCUGGGGCCUGAGCCUGGGACUCGGCCAACGCACCCCACGUGGAAAUCGACAGAUGGGGCCAAGAGGGGAAGCCCUGCAGGGGUGGCCCCAGGCUGACCUACAGGGGUUCUGCGAGCUGAAGCCCGUGCACACGGAAUGAGCCCGCUUCCACGUUACAGGCGCAGCCCCUGGGGGGCCCAAGAGGUUUCUGUGCGGGUCCACGCGGCAUUGGUUCGAAACGAUAAAUGAUCAACAAAUAUUUGUCAAGUGAUCACCCUGCCCCAAGCUCCGGGCUAGGACCUUAGUUAGAAGGCUGGACGCUUCUUCCCAGCAAGACCAGAUGGUCUUCUGACCCCGAUGAAGCUGGAAGCCGAAGAGAAAACAGGCAGUGACCUAAUAAUUACACCAAAUAUGAAAGUCACCGGGUUCUUGGAGGUCAGAGUGGAUGGUUCAGGAUUACAGUCGCGGAGUCAGCCUGUCUCGCUCAGACCCCAGGCCCAGUUCCCAUCAGCUGUGUUGCCCAAAUGCCCCGGAUGGCAGAUGUGUUGUGUGGAGAACAGAGAAGCAAAACUGAAAAGAACCUCUGGGAGUUUAGACAACUGUUUGAGGACAUACAGCUAGAUGAUAGCAAAUUGAAGUAAACAGGAGACUGAGGAACUGAUUGUGUACCUGUGCUUUCUUGUCACCAUUAUAUCGACAUGCCUGGACCAACCUGCCCAAGGGAUGUGAAAAUGUGGAAUAGAAUUGAGUCUUCAAGCCCAAGCCACCAGUGCUCCCAGCCGACCACAAUCGCAUGAGAAAACAGAAAGAAGUAAGCCAAGACAUGUCCAAACAAUCAGAUCUGUUCCGUUGACCUGUGGGCUGGUGAAAAAUGGCAAAUGAUUAUUCCUUUAA